UCAACUAACCAAAUGAGGAUAUGUGCAU
rnacentral:sRNA from 1 species